rnacentral:lncRNA from 1 species
GAUUUCCCCCUCGGGCGCUCUCGCGCUAACUCUGCUCUCCUGGGCCCCGUCCGCCCGCUCCCAGCCAUGGUGGCCUGGCGCUCAGCGUUCCUCAUCUGCCUCGCUUUCUCCUUGGCCACUCUGGUCCAGAGAGAUGCUGUUCUGGUGACUUCUCUGGGCACGUACUGCACUGCUCUUGCUCUUCCCCAGGCCCGGGAUGAUGUCUGACACCAAGUAGGAGCUGGUCAAGAUAUGUGGUGGCAGGACAGACAAACAUGGACAUCGAAGAAAGGAAGCUCCGGGGACAAUGAUGAUUUCUAUCCAAGGGAAACGUCCUCAGCAAAGCAGAGAUGGGACCGCGUCACCACGACAACCAAGAGACCUGGAGUGACCAGGGCUCCAGCAAAGCCUGCAGGCAGUGAUUUUGACUUGGCUGAUGCCUUGGAUGGAAACGAUCAAGACGAUGGCCGCAGGAAACCGAGUCCAGGAGGAGGAGGUUUUUCGGACAAGGAUCUUGAAGACAUCUUAGGGGGCGGCGAAUACAGACCUGACAAGGGUAAAGGUGAUGCCGGGUAUGGCAGCAACGGUGACUCGGAAUCCGGAAUGUCGGCAGAGACCGGCACCAUCGCCGGCGUGGCCAGCGCUCUGGCCAUGGCUCUCAUCGGCGCCGUGUCCAGCUACAUCUCCUACCAGCAGAAGAAGUUCUGCUUCAGCAUUCAGCAAGGUCUCAACGCGGACUACGUGAAGGGGGAAAACCUGGAGGCCGUCGUGUGCGAGGAGCCCCAAGUGAAGUACUCGGCGCUGCAGACACAGUCCGCCGAGCCGCCGCCGCCCGAGCCACCCCGGAUCUGAGCCCCGCUGGGCAGGCAGUGGGCACGCGUGGGGCCGCCGCUCAUCACCCAGCUCCCAGUUUCAUGCGGCCCCGCAGCUGCCACACUGCUCCUUCAAUGUCAUUGGCUUCUCGUCGUUCCCAGUGUCCCAGAUGAGCUCGGGGUGUUUGUGAGUUUGGUUCGCAUGCCCACCCUGCCUCUGUGGAGCCGGGCCGCGGAAAUCCGAGACCCCGCUCGCCAGAGAGCCGGGACCAGCCCCAGGAGCCGCGGGGUCACGGGUGCCCCAGGCCCCCCUGGCCUGAGCCGCCUGGGAGGGGGAGGCGGGGAGGAGAGUGAACCCAGCCCGUGACCCCUCCACGCUGCGGUGCCUGGCCGCCGGGCACCCUGGCCCGGAGGGACCUUCAGCAGGGCCCAGCGGCCAGGAGCCAAGCAGCGAGUGGCAGGGCACCCACCCUGCACGCACGCCCUGCCCGCUGAUUUGACUUGCUCCUCCCUUCCGGUCGCAGCCCUUAAGCUGCUGGGCUUCCUGAGCGCUGCUCCCCGUGGUGGCUUUUCACUUAUUUAAGUGCUAGCACCCGUGUCACAGUAGGCCGCCCUGAGACUUGAAUCUUCUGGACACGUAGGAAGCUUUGGCUCUCAGGCCUGAUUCCUAUCUGAUUCCAGAGGACUGGGUGUGGUCUCCAAGCUGACACGAUUCACUUUUAGGAAUCAUUUAAGCCGUGCUUGCGAGUUUCACACGACGGAAGGGGUGCUCACCCCCCACCCGGGCGUGGGCUCAUUUGGUGGCAGAGCUCCAGCCGUCCAGCACGCACGGAGAAGCCUGAAGCCUGCCCGCGGGUCGCUUGGAGUUUAUGGGGAGGGGGACGUUGGCUUGGUUUGGGAAACAUCCUACCUGGGGGAGGGCGCCUGGGGCCCGCGGGCGCUGCCUGGGCUGGGCCGGAGCAGAGCUGCGCUGCUGUCCCGGGCUGAGCUCACGUCUCGAGCCGCAGCUACUGUGAAGGAGCCUGCGGGGUCCUGCCCACCUCCACCUGCUGCAGGCCGGUCCCACGUGGUCCCCGGGCGGUGUCGGCUGCGCUGGCUGAGGCCCAGGGAGACCGCAGGCUGCAGAGCGGGGGCGCCCCACGAGGCCCCUGCCCCCAGGCUCAGGCCAGGCAGGCCGGGUGCCCGGGCCGGGAGGGCAAAGGGCUGCCCGUUCUCCCCCCCCCCCGCCCCACCCUCACGGGCUGGAUUGUUGCCAACUUGGCCCCAUGGGCCAGGCCUGUGGAGGACUUGUGCAUUUGAGCCUGCUGGUGCGUGAACAGGGUGGCCUCAGGGCCCAGGGAGGGCCAGUGUCCUGCACCAGGAGCUGGGGAGGGAUCGGGGCGGCAGUUUAGAGGAGGAGCGAGGCAGCGCUUGUUCGUGGUCGGAUGCUUCUCUCCCUGCCACCAGGGAGCUGGGACGUGUACAAAGAAGUCACAGUCAACGGCAGCGACUGGGAAGAGCGAGGUGGCCGUGUGACCCCGUGGUCACCUUAGCUCUGCAGCCAGGACCCUCCGAGGGGGAAGGCGCUGACAGCCUGGCUGUGGUGUCGUCAGCGCUCGCUGUGAAGCCGUCUCCUGCCCCGUCUGCCCUUCUGCGUCCAGCUUGGUGCCCGCUGUGACCGGUGCUGGCAGAGCUCUCAGCCCGGGGCCUCUUGGAGCCGUGUCCGCCCGAACGGGGCCUUGGCAGCUCGGGCCCAUCCCGGGCACCGGCGGAGACAGCGACGAGAAAAGCCAGCUGGCAGCGCCCGAGCCCUGUGCGCUUAACUGGGGUGGGGGCUGCGCGGUUCUGGGAACCCGGGGCGCGCGGGGCGAGCCCGGCUCUGAGGAGGGAGGCUGGAGGCUGAGCUCCGCGGCCCCUGUCCGUUUUCUGUGCUUGUGAUUACCUGUGAGUUGUACGCCGUCUCGUGUUUGCAUUAAAUAAAACCGAGCCUA